rnacentral:lncRNA from 1 species
GACGAGGGCGGGGAGUGAUCGCCGGUGCAAGAAGCAUGGUGCAGGGGGCACGGACAAGGAGCGGCUCCUGGCAGGCUUCGAGUGGAAGGGGCACAUGGACGAAUCGAACAUACACCGGAAUGAGAGGGAUCUGGAGACUGUAUAGGUAUGGGACUAUACAGUUGAAGGAUAUCUUAAAGGACUUGAUUUGGCUACCCAUAUCACCAAAAUGCAUUUACUUUUCGGAAGCCUAACCCAUAAGAACUCCAUGGUUAAGCGUGCUUAGCNUGGAGAAAUUCUGGGAUGGGUGACCUUCUGGGAAGUUUUCCUGGAAAGUGUGCGAGUGAGGACAAAACACACUGGAAAGUCUCGUGGUGAUGUAUGGGGGCAGUCAACAGUCCCUGUAAGUUGCCGGGGCGUUACA